GUUAGAGCUCCCCCUGGUCCUCUCUCCCUCCCCUGCCGGCUGUCAGCAAAGUGCUAGCGGGCCAGAGAGGGAGAUCUCUUAUCUCCCCUCUGGUCCUGCAGACUCGGCAGGGGAGAGCACAGUUCCUGGUGCUACCAUCAUAGCAUCGGGAAAAUAACUUGCUGCACACAGUUGGGGAACUGCUGCUCUACUAAUAAUUUAAUAAGCAUUGAGGUCAUUCUUUAAAUUGCACUGUGCGUGUCUCUUAAAAUCACGGCUUAAAGAAGCUACUUAUUAGACUUGGGCACUGCAAAAAUAUAAUAAAAAGAUGUGUCCUUGUAGCAUAAUGUCUGACCCAUCCAAAGCCUUUUUUUGCAGGGGGCAUCCAGUCCCCCUUCAUUUUAAUACCCACCUUGAUCCUAGCGGUAGGAUUGGUGGACAGUAGUAUGUCCAAACCAUUUGUUAUAAUGGCCAGAAGGGGGUGGGCAUUUGCAUAAUCACAUUCCCAAUGAUUUUAAACAACCCCCACCUGCUGCCCGCAUGUGUGAGGGGAACGAUGUCAUCUACCCCAUCUAUCCUAUUCUUUUAUUGGCCAAACAUAAGAGGGGAGAAAUGUAGCAAUACACUCACAGUAUGGUGGAUGGAUUUAUGGGAGGGAUUACACAUCCUUUAUACUAACAUGGGGGUCAUAUUGACAACGAUGCUUGUUGAAAAUAUUGUUGGUAUGUGGCUUUAAGCUGUGAAAAGGUUACUAUAAACUUGUUAUAUUUGAGAACAUGUGUCUGGAUAACAGUUGAAUGAAAUUACUUUUUAAAGGAAAAUUCCUUAUGAAAAAACAAAA